UACGUAGGCAGCAAGCGUUGUUCGGAAUUACUGGGCGUAAAGCGCACGUAGGCGGCUUUGUAAGUUAGAGGUGAAAGCCCAGGGCUUAACUCUGGAAUUGCCUUUAAGACUGCAUCGCUAGAAUCGUGGAGAGGUGAGUGGAAUUCCGAGUGUAGAGGUGAAAUUCGUAGAUAUUCGGAAGAACACCAGUGGCGAAGGCGACUCACUGGACACGUAUUGACGCUGAGGUGCGAAAGCGUGGGGAGCAAACAGG
rnacentral:rRNA from 1 species